AGAUUGAACGCUGGCGGCAGGCCUAACACAUGCAAGUCGAGCGGCAGCACGGGUACUUGUACCUGGUGGCGAGCGGCGGACGGGUGAGUAAUGCCUAGGAAUCUGCCUGGUAGUGGGGGAUAACGCUCGGAAACGGACGCUAAUACCGCAUACGUCCUACGGAAGAAAGCAGGGGACCUUCGGGCCUUGCGCUAUCAGAUGAGCCUAGGUCGGAUUAGCUAGUUGGUGAGGUAAUGGCUCACCAAGGCGACGAUCCGUAACUGGUCUGAGAGGAUGAUCAGUCACACUGGAACUGAGACACGGUCCAGACUCCUACGGGAGGCAGCAGUGGGGAAUAUUGGACAAUGGGCGAAAGCCUGAUCCAGCCAUGCCGCGUGUGUGAAGAAAGGUCUUCGGAUUGUAAAGCACUUUAAGUUGGAGGAAGGCAGUUACCUAAUACGUAUCUGUUUGACGUUACCGACAGAAUAAGCACCGGCUAAACUCUGUG
rnacentral:rRNA from 1 species